rnacentral:lncRNA from 1 species
UUCUUGAAUAGUUCAAAACAGUUGGUUCUUCUACUUGAAUGCUUGAUUCCGUAUUAGUAACUAUGUUUUACAAUUGUUGUAAAAGUGUGGCUAAUAAGAAGUAGAAGAUUAAUGAGAGAAGAGAAAAUACUUCACAUUCGAAACGUGAAUCAAAUGUAGAUCUCUGCGAAAGCAGAUGGUACUUACUUCCUCAUAUGAACUACCAAAGAAAUUGGAAAAACCAAAGAUUGUCUUUACAUUCCAAUUUUAAGGAACUAAAUUCCGUCACUAUAUGAAAUGGAUAAAUGUUUUGUUUGACAAAACAUUGUUCUUUAUUAAUCAAUGAUUGGAUUAUAGUAAUCUAAUUAAUUGUCUCUAUAGUAGAGAUAAUA